UACGUAGGGGGCUAGCGUUGUCCGGAAUCAUUGGGCGUAAAGCGCGUGUAGGCGGUUCGGUAAGUCCGCUGUGAAAGUCGGGGGCUCAACCCUCGGAUGCCGGUGGAUACUGUCGGACUAGAGUACGGAAGAGGCGAGUGGAAUUCCGGGUGUAGCGGUGAAAUGCGCAGAUAUCAGGAGGAACACCGAUUGCGAAGGCAGCUCGCUGGGACGUUACUGACGCUGAGACGCGAAAGCGUGGGGAGCAAACAGG
rnacentral:rRNA from 1 species